rnacentral:rRNA from 1 species
AUUGAACGCUGGCGGCAUGCCUUACACAUGCAAGUCGAACGGUAACGGGCCUUCGGUUGCCGACGUGUGGACAACGGGUGAGUAAUACAUCAGAACGUGCCCGAUCGCGGGGGAGAACGAGGCGAAAGCUUUGCUCAUACCGCAUACGAUCUACGCAUGACAGCAGGGAACCGCAGGGCCUUGGGCGCUCUGGCCAUCCGAUGGGCGAUUAGGUAGUUGGUGGGAUAAAGGCUUACCAAGCCGACGAUCCGUAGCUGGUCUGAGAGGAUGAUCAGCCACACUGGGACUGAGACACGGCCCAGACUCCUACGGGAGGCAGCAGUGGGGAAUUUUGGACAAUGGGCGCAAGCCUGAUCCAGCCAUGCCGCGUGCAGGAUGAAGGCCUUCGGGUUGUAAACUGCUUUUGUACGGAACGAAAAGACUUCUUUUAAUACAGGAGGGUCAUGACGGUACCGUAAGAAUAAGCACCGGCUAACUACGUG